rnacentral:rRNA from 1 species
AUACGGAGGGUGCAAGCGUUAAUCGGAAUUACUGGGCGUAAAGCGUACGUAGGCGGUUCGUUAAGUUAGAUGUGAAAGCCCCGGGCUUAACCUGGGAACUGCAUUUAAAACUGGCGAACUAGAGUUGAGUAGAGGGGAGUGGAAUUUCAGGUGUAGCGGUGAAAUGCGUAGAGAUCUGAAGGAACACCAGUGGCGAAGGCGGCUCCCUGGACUCAAACUGACGCUGAGGUACGAAAGCGUGGGUAGCAAACGGGAUUAGAUACCCCAGUAGUCC